UGCCACAUACAGAAGUGCUAAAUGACUGAGAAGCAAUGCACCUUUUUUGUAGGCAAACUUGGUCACACAGGACACUGCUCUGCAGAAAUUGAGUUCUGGGAAACAAGCAGAUAUGACACAGCUGGCAUGUUUUCAAUGGGAAUGUAUAGCAAAUGGGAUCUUUAUUAUUACUUCAUUUUGAAUUAUUUAUGUAGCCACGUCUGCUUUAAAAUCUGAAUUUUUACGCACAGCAUUUCACCAAGUCACUAGAAUUUUGUUGCGCUCCAAUGAAUAGACUAUUCUAGACGUAAGGCAAAAAGAAAAAUAAGUUUAUAUAAAUCUAAAAAGACUGAUUGGCAUUUCUGGCUGCCCCAGGUUUUGCUGUAUCCCUCAGCACCUAACACAUGCCACUCAGGAAAUACAGAGAUGCGCUCCUGCAGAUGCAAAGCAGUGUUGUAGAACUUACUCACCUGUGGAAAAGUAAAGUUUGUCAGAAAGAACACAGGGAGCCAUUAACAUACGUUACAGGAGAAGGCUGAUUUUUUCCAUGUCACAGAUUCAGCACAACUUGUUUCUGUGAAUGACACACGGGUUUUAAUAAAUUACUCUUACAAUACACAGCACCACUUAUAUUGUACCAGGGAGCUGAAACCGUAAGCUUGUAUUUGGCUUCAUUAAUGAUGUACUCUCCUCAGAGUAGGAACAAUUCUGCUGACAGGCCAUCUGUUUGCUGUCAGCCAAGGAUCGAUGCUGUGGCCCUCAACUACAUCAGCUGCAGAGGAACCUCUUGAAGAAUUCAGCGAGCAAUCCCUAGAAAGUAAACUGCUUAAUUGUGCUUGUCUUAGCUGCCACUGUAAGAAAUUAACAUCUCCAUUUUUCUUUGUGUUAACAGAAAGGAAAAAGAAAACACAACAUUGAUACAUUAUUCAUUAUUCAUGCCAGAGAAGGAGAGAGGCAGUGAUGGAGAAAAGAGAAGACAAGGCUUCUCCUUCACGAGGAUGUUCCAGCUGCAGUACCCUGCAGGUGAUGAUUUGCUGAGACUCUGAGUAACUUUUCACACCAAAGAAGAGCAGCAGCAUUUCUUGUUACCUGUGAUGUUGGAUUCAGACUGUUCCUGCCCAUCACUUGAAAUUUGGGAACACACAACUUGCAUGCAUCCAUAACGCACGGGAUAUUGAAUGGCAAAUGAACACAGUACUUGGAAGACAUGCUCAGAUGCACGCCCACUACACUAUACAUAUAGGAAGGUCUCAGAAUGUCCAGGCUCUUCCUCAUCAAGCACUGCUCCUGAAAGCACUGAGCUAAACUUUUCAAAAUACGGCAUAAUCUUAGCCAGAUGUCUUCAGAUAGGGGAUUUCAGACAGCGAUGGUGACACAGAGAUCCUCAUGAGUGCGGAUUAUUCAGGAAGUGGAAAUGUAUCUCUUGAAGGGGGAUGGCUGACGGCAAGGAGCAGUAACACAGAGGUCAGAAAAAGAGAUAAUUUCUCAGACUUUCUGAUGAAUAUGAAAGACAUCCCAUUUGUGAAGAAUACAGGGGGAGCAAUGUGUUGCCUGUUCCAAGCAAUGUGCUCUGCCAGCAGGUGCUGGAUUGCCAA